rnacentral:rRNA from 1 species
UACGAAGGGGGCUAGCGUUGCUCGGAAUCACUGGGCGUAAAGGGCGCGUAGGCGGACCUGCAAGUCGGGGGUGAAAGCCCGAGGCUCAACCUCGGAACUGCCUUCGAUACUGCGGGUCUCGAGUCCGGGAGAGGUGAGUGGAAUUCCUAGUGUAGAGGUGAAAUUCGUAGAUAUUAGGAAGAACACCAGUGGCGAAGGCGGCUCACUGGCCCGGUACUGACGCUGAGGCGCGAAAAGCGUGGGGGAGCAAACAGGG